rnacentral:rRNA from 1 species
CAGUAGCCGCGGUAAUACGUAGGGUGCGAGCGUUAAUCGGAAUUACUGGGCGUAAAGCGUGCGCAGGCGGUUCGUUAAGACAGAUGUGAAAUCCCCGGGCUUAACCUGGGAACUGCAUUUGUGACUGGCGAGCUAGAGUAUGGCAGAGGGGGGUAGAAUUCCACGUGUAGCAGUGAAAUGCGUAGAGAUGUGGAGGAAUACCGAUGGCGAGGGCAGCCCCCUGGGCCAAUACUGACGCUCAUGCACGAAAGCGUGGGGAGCAAACAGGAUUAGGUACCCCAGUAGUCCCUGUCUCUUAUAA